GAUGAACGCUGGCGGCGUGCCUAAUACAUGCAAGUCGAGCGAACAGACGAGGAGCUUGCUCCUCUGACGUUAGCGGCGGACGGGUGAGUAACACGUGGCUAACCGACCUAUAAGACUGGGAUAACUUCGGGAAACCGGAGCUAAUACCGGAUAAUAUAUUGAACCGCAUGGUUCAAUAGUGAAAGCCGGUUUUGCUGUCUCUUAUAGAUGGAUCCGCGCCGCAUUAGCUAGUUGGUAAGGUAACGGCUUACCAAGGCGACGAUGCGUAGCCGACCUGAGAGGGUGAUCGGCCACACUGGAACUGAGACACGGUCCAGACUCCUACGGGAGGCAGCAGUAGGGAAUCUUCCGCAAUGGGCGAAAGCCUGACGGAGCAACGCCGCGUGAGUGAUGAAGGUCUUCGGAUCGUAAAACUCUGUUAUUAGGGAAGAACAAAUGUGUAAGUAACUAUGCACGUCUUGACGGUACCUAAUCAGAAAGCCACGGCUAACUACGUG
rnacentral:rRNA from 1 species